rnacentral:rRNA from 1 species
CGUACCUUUUGUAUAAUGGGUCAGCGACUUAUAUUCUGUAGCAAGGUUAACCGUAUAGGGGAGCCGAAGGGAAACCGAGUCUUAACCGGGCGUUAAGUUGCAGGGUAUAGACCCGAAACCCGGUGAUCUAGCCAUGGGCAGGUUGAAGGUUGGGUAACACUAACUGGAGGACCGAACCGACUAAUGUUGAAAAAUUAGCGGAUGACCUGUGGCUGGGGGUGAAAGGCCAAUCAAACCGGGAGAUAGCUGGUUCUCCCCGAAAGCUAUUUAGGUAGCGCCUCGUGAAUUCAUCUCCGGGGGUAGAGCACUGUUUCGGCUAGGGGGCCAUCCCGGCUUACCAACCCGAUGCAAACUGCGAAUACCGGAGAAUGUUAUCACGGGAGACACACGGCGGGUGCUAACGUCCGUCGUGAAGAGGGAAACAACCCAGACCGCCAGCUAAGGUCCCAAAGUCAUGGUUAAGUGGGAAACGAUGUGGGAAGGCCCAGACAGCCAGGAUGUUGGCUUAGAAGCAGCCAUCAUUUAAAGAAAGCGUAAUAGCUCACUGGUCGAGUCGGCCUGCGCG